rnacentral:rRNA from 1 species
UACGGGGGGGGCAAGCGUUGUUCGGAAUUACUGGGCGUAAAGGGCUCGUAGGCGGCCAACUAAGUCAUACGUGAAAUCCCCCGGCUUAACCGGGGAACUGCGUCUGAUACUGGAUGGCUUGAGUUCGGGAGAGGGAUGCGGAAUUCCAGGUGUAGCGGUGAAAUGCGUAGAUAUCUGGAGGAACACCGGUGGCGAAGGCGGCAUCCUGGACCGAUACUGACGCUGAGGAGCGAAAGCCAGGGGAGCAAAGCGGG